GCGCCCAUAGCUCAGAUGGAUAGAGCGUCGGACUACGAAUCCGCAGGUCGGGCGUUCGAGUCGCCCUGGGCGCGCCA
rnacentral:tRNA from 1 species